rnacentral:misc_RNA from 1 species
AAGUCGUAACAAGGUUUCCGUAGGUGAACCUGCGGAAGGAUCAUUACAGAGUAUUGCCCUUCGGGGUAGAUCUCCCACCCUUUGUUUAUUUAAACCUGUUGCUUUGGCGGGCCGUUCGGCCUCGUGCCGCCCACCGGCUUCGGCUGGUGUGUGCCCGUCGGAAGACACCUUAAACUCUGAAUAUAAUGUUGUCUGAGUACCAUAUAAUCGUUAAAACUUUCAACAACGGAUCUCUUGGUUCUG